rnacentral:rRNA from 1 species
GAGUUUGAUCCUGGCUCAGGAUGAACGCUGGCGGCGCGCCUAACACAUGCAAGUCGAACGGAGCUGAGAGAAGCUUGCUUUUCUUAGCUUAGUGGCGAACGGGUGAGUAACGCGUGAGUAACCUGCCCUGGAGUGGGGGACAACAGUCAGAAAUGACUGCUAAUACCGCAUAAGACCACAGCACCGCAUGGUGCAGGGGUAAAAACUCCGGUGGUACAGGAUGGACCCGCGUCUGAUUAGCUGGUUGGUGAGGUAACGGCUCACCAAGGCAACGAUCAGUAGCCGGCCUGAGAGGGUGAACGGCCACAUUGGGACUGAGACACGGCCCAGACUCCUACGGGAGGCAGCAGUGGGGAAUCUUCCGCAAUGGGCGAAAGCCUGACGGAGCAAUGCCGCGUGAGUGAAGAAGGCCUUCGGGUUGUAAAACUCUGUCCUUAUCGAAGAGAGGGUAUGGUGUGAAUAAUGCCAUAUUAGGACGGUAGAUAAGGAGGAAGCCCCGGCUAACUACGUGCCAGCCGCCGCGGUAAUAC